rnacentral:misc_RNA from 1 species
UGCAAGAGAGCACGUGCAAGACAAGACUGGGAGACGCACGCUCUGUUAUUAAGACGUGCUGCCUGCUGUUGUGGUCUGUUGUGCCCACCCCUGGGAAUGCCUGUGGAGUGCCUGAGUGCCCUGUGUGUGUAUGUGGAGGCUGCCCUGUGAUGUACUGUGAACUGAGGACUCAGUAAAGGACAUGAGUAAGUUGGUGUUUCUCUGUCCGGCGGUGCCUGCCACCCACCUGCCAUUGUGUGCCUCAUGCUGAUGUGCUCCUGGGUGCUCCGGACCCUUGACAACGAAGCUGACGCAGCCAGUGAAAGCGGACAACCACAGGUUGUUGGUCGCAGGUUGACGCCCUUUUGCCGCUAGAGAAAGACGGUUUCAUGUCAAAAUUUACCCAGAUGACGCCACUGUGCAAAUAUUGUAUCGAGAUGAGAACAUCAAAACGUCUUCCAGGGUCACGGAGGGAACAGGUACGGGACCACGGACCAACAACUGCGCGUGGCGCUUUGCAAUACAGGGAAAUGACCUUGGCGGAAAGGAGAUGUAUGGCUGAGCUCUCCCAUACGUUCCACUACGCUGACAGCUGCCACCAUCAAAUGUUGUAGGACCUAAGAGGGUGGCUUAUCAGACAGACUUGGUCGUCUCAGAUCUGUCCCCCACGCCGCGCUGCCCAUCUGUCACCUCUUGAGCACCGCCACACACACCCAGCCGUUCCCGCUCAGGUCAUGAUGGUGGUGGUGCUUGUGUCUGCGUGCCCCCAAGUACGAGAGACCUGGUUGUGCAAUUGCUCCGUGUCACAACAUCACUUCUUCCCUAUCAGUCCAACCACGCUAACCAUUAAUGCAAGAUCGUAUAGGAAGGCCCUCGUCCAUGCGAAGACCCUCGGCUGAAUCGAGGAGGCACGUUGAAACUGCAUUACUUCUUGGCGUGAAAUCAUCUCGUCACUUACCGUCGAGGACGUUUGACUACUGAUCCCGUUUUUGCUGACGAUGGUCUCCUGAUCGUGAAACCUCUACAUUAUCAGCGUCCACCCUCCAUUCAUAGUGUAAGCGUGGCUGGUCUCCAGAUUGUCGUGAAGCCUACACAGUGUUACCAGCGUCGGCCCUCCAUUCCUAGUGUAGGCGUGGCUGGUUCGUUUUCCAAAGAGACAUUGUAAGACUCAUGGAUUAGUAGUGUUGCUGAUUAAUGAGCAGUUGGUUUGGUCUAAGAGUUCGAGAAACUCUCCCUUUAUUUAUUUUUUUUUUUAAUAAAAAAAAAAAAACAUCGAGAGGUCUCAUCUCUUUUCUCGGGAGACUCUUUAAGGUAUAGCACUCGCUUUAUUUAUCUAGGGAGACUCUUCCAGGUAUGCCACUUGCUUUGUUUCUCUCGGGAGACUUUUCAAGGUAUGGCACCUUAAUUUUUCUCGGGAAACUUGGAGGCACCCGCUACAAGUUGGAGGGAAGAGUAGUCGUGAUCUGGCGUAGAUAAACAUUAGAUGUGUAAGAUGUAAUGGUAUUCGUACAUUGCCUUGGUCUAGAAAUAUGGUUGGAUUGUUUACAAGUUCAGUAUGAUUAUAUUUAUUAUGUUCAGGAUCAAUUGAAUGGAUGGAAUCCCUGAAUAUUUUCAAGUAACAUGAAAAAUACAUUAUUAAAUUGUUCGUGUUACGUGUUGAUAGUAUAAAGUAUUUUUCAUGAAUUAUAAUAUUCAUAUUUAGGAAAUGUAAAUUACGAGUCUAGGAGUAAUUUAUUUAUUCAGGAACUUGCGUAACUACUUUCACACUACUAGAGGCUACGGGGGGAGGGGGGUGAGAAAGCACGCUUAAGAAUUUGGUAAGGGUGUAGAUGCACGUCUAUGACGAGAAAACUGCGCCCGUUGUUGAGGCACUGGAUGGGCGCCUGACUAGGAAUCACGUUGAUCCUAUUAACAAUAAUAAUAGGAAUGACGUUGGUUUUAUUAACAAUAAUUGUAGAGAAUCGUGGUAGACAUACUGAUGUGUAUAUAUAUAUAUAACAAUUGUAGACUCGAUGAUGUACAUAGAGAGUUACA